UAGGGAAUCUUCCACAAUGGACGCAAGUCUGAUGGAGCAACGCCGCGUGAGUGAAGAAGGUUUUCGGAUCGUAAAGCUCCGUUGUUGGUGAAGAAGGAUAGAGGUAGUAACUGGCCUUUAUUUGACGGUAAUCAACCAGAAAGUCACGGCUAACUACGUGCCAGCAGCCGCGGUAAUACGUAGGUGGCAAGCGUUGUCCGGAUUUAUUGGGCGUAAAGCGAGCGCAGGCGGAAGAAUAAGUCUGAUGUGAAAGCCCUCGGCUUAACCGGUGAACUGCAUCGGAAACUGUUUUUCUUGAGUGCAGAAGAGGAGAGUGGAAUUCCAUGUGUAACGGUGGAAUGCGUAGAUAUAUGGAAGAACACCAGUGGCGAAGGCGACUCUCUGGUCUGCAACUGACGCUGAGACGCGAAAGCAUGGGUAGCGAACAGG
rnacentral:rRNA from 1 species